AACGAACGCUGGCGGCAUGCCUAACACAUGCAAGUCGAACGAGACCUUCGGGUCUAGUGGCGCACGGGUGCGUAACGCGUGGGAACCUGCCCUUAGGUUCGGAAUAACGCGCCGAAAGGGGUGCUAAUACCGGAUAAUGUCUUCGGACCAAAGAGUUGUCGCCUUUGGAUGGGCCCGCGUUGGAUUAGCUAGUUGGUAGGGUAAAGGCCUACCAAGGCGACGAUCCAUAGCUGGUCUGAGAGGAUGAUCGGUCACACUGGCACUGAGACACGGCCCAAACUCCUACGGGAGGCAGCAGUGGGGAAUAUUGCACAAUGGGGGAAAGCCUGAUGCAGCAAUGCCGCGUGAGUGAUGAAGGCAUUAGGGUUGUAAAGCUCUUUUCCCCGGGAUGAUAAGGACAGUACCGGGAGAAUAAGCCCCGGCUAACUCCGUG
rnacentral:rRNA from 1 species